AAGUCGUAACAAGGUUUCCGUAGGUGAACCUGCGGAAGGAUCAUUAUUGUAGGGACUCCGGUCCCCUCAAGAUGCAACCCGUGCCUUUUUUGUAGCCCGUAACGUUUCCUCGGCAGCCCCUCUGCCAGCGAGGACCCCCCCUAAACCAAACCUGCAAUCUCAGUAAAAAAUUUCAGAAACCCCCCAAAAUUUAAAA
rnacentral:misc_RNA from 1 species